AGAUUCUGACCCUAAGAUUCUCAGGUAUCCAUCUUUGCAGUUCUUGAAUAAAUCAUUCAGUUAGCAUCUUCUUCCUCCAGGUUUCUCCGAGCCUCCUCAGCCCACCAUCAGUUUCACCUCUGUCAUCUCCUUUUGCAUUCUCUCAGUCCUUGCAGCCAUUCUCCUUGCCAAGAGAUUUCUGUUCCUGUUGUGUCCCCAUUGUCUGUCAAGUCCGGUCCUGUGUCACUGGGGUCAGCACACAUUUGUGCCGGAGCUGCUCUGCUCUGCCGCAUAGCCCGGUGCAAUAGGAGAUUGAUCACCUUCUUCCUGAUUGCAUAGAAGUCUCGGGGACUUGGGAUUUUUAGUGUGGGGUGUAGUUGGACUCUAGAUGGGAUUUGUAGACGGACACAAGAUAUCUGGAGCUCUUAAGUUAUCCUGCAGUCCUUUGACUUUCAUCCUAACUUUCUUUCAGAUGCAGAAGGAUAAAAUCCAGGGCAGCGCACCCCAUCCCGGGUGAGGGGAUUCCCCUGAGCAGGUGCUGUCACUGGCCUAGGCAUGCCCAGGAACAGAGGAGGGCAGGUAUCUUCUGGGCAGCUUCCGGAGUCAAAUCAAGAUUUGAGGUCCCCUGAGAAGGCUUGUAGCGAAAGCUUGGGAACGGCAGCACCGAAGCACACAUGGAGAACAUCUCAACGUCCACAUCCAACCGAGGAUGGCUUUUUGUCUGCUCGUCUUCCAAAAGCUAAGUGUUGGGGCCAGUGGUUGGGAGAAGGGGAAAAACCUUUACUAUCACAGGGGGACAAUUUGAUGUCAGCUUAGUGGAGAGGUCUAUAGUGGGACAGGCUCUCUGGAAGUAAAGGGAGAGGGUUUCUCCUCAGCCUCACCAGAGCCUUUGCCAGGCAGGGCAGUUCCGACCCAUCUCCACAUUCUCGUGAACUUUGCGUUGUCAGCCUUCUUCGACUCGACAUCGUCACGGAUCUUUCCCCCAGGGAGAUCGCCUUCAGGUCUGGAGCUAUAGCCACGGUCACCCGGCAGUCUGCUUCCUUCUCUAGGCUUGCUGAGCCUCUCGAGCAUCCUCUUAACUGCUUUGGUACUAACUUCCUUUAAGGAGUUACAUUUCAUCAUCCUGUGCUAUUGUCCUGGGACUUCCUUUCCUUUGGCAUCAUUGGCCUCUGGCUCAUCUUGCAGUAGGAAUCUUGGGUCCAUCAGUUGAAAGCGCCAGGCAGUUUACACUUGUCUCUGUGUUAUGCCAUCUGUGUCUAUGUUAUG